UCUAGAACUCGAGAUAUGGGUUGAACACUGAAUAAUGUCUGGAAUGUAGGACAGAUUCUGACUUCUCCGUUCUUGCCACCAUUUGAACUCGAAAGUGGCACUUUUAAAUCUUGGACUCUUUAUGAAAGUUUUAGGCCUAUGUCUUAGCUUUCCAUA
rfam:Populus trichocarpa scaffold_12_contig_138, whole genome shotgun sequence.